UGUGGUCGGAGCGGCGCAAGGGUGCGUAACACGUGGGUAAUCUGCCAUGAAGUUUGGGAUAACUUGCUGAAAGGCGAGCUAAUACCGGAUGUGACAGUUGGAAGGCAUCUUCCGAUUUUCAAAGUUGGGGACCGUAAGGCCUGACGCUUCAUGAUGAGCCCGCGGCCUAUCAGCUAGUUGGUGAGGUAACGGCUCACCAAGGCUAUGACGGGUAGCUGGUCUGAGAGGACGACCAGCCACACUGGAACUGAGACACGGUCCAGACACCUACGGGUGGCAGCAGUCGAGAAUUUUUCACAAUGGGCGCAAGCCUGAUGGAGCGACGCCGCGUGGGGGAUGAAUGGCUUCGGCCCGUAAACCCCUGUCAUUUGCGAUCAAACCUUGUUAUUUAAAAGAUGACGAGCUGAUAGUAGCGAAAGAGGAAGGGACGGCUAACUCUGUGCCAGCAGCCGCGGUAAUACAGAGGUCCCAAGCGUUGUUCGGAUUCACUGGGCGUAAAGGGUGCGUAGGUGGUGAGGUAAGUCGGAUGUGAAAGCUCGGAGCUCAACUCCGAAAUGGCAUUGGAAACUACCUUGCUCGAGGGAUGGAGGGGGGACUGGAAUUCACGGUGUAGCA
rnacentral:rRNA from 1 species